rnacentral:rRNA from 1 species
CCCGCCGGCGGCCGGCGCACGGGUGAGUAACACGUAUGCAACCUGGCCGCCACAGGGGGAUAACCCGCGGAAACGCGGCCUAAUACCCCGUGACGCCACCGGAGGGCAUCCUCCGGUGGCCAAAGGAGCGAUCCGGUGGCGGAUGGGCAUGCGGCGCAUUAGCUAGACGGCGGGGUGACGGCCCACCGUGGCGACGAUGCGUAGGGGUUCUGAGAGGAAGGCCCCCCACACUGGGACUGAGACACGGCCCAGACUCCUACGGGAGGCAGCAG